UAAACUAGGAUUAGAUACCCUAUUAUUAAAAGUGUAAAUUUGAAUGCUGGAGUAUUAGUAGUUAUGUUCUUGAAAUUUAAAGGAUUUGGCGGUAUUUUAGUCUUUUCAGAGGAACCUGUCCUAUAAUUGAUACUCCACGAUUAAUUAUACUUAUUUUAUAGGCUUGUAUAUCGUCGUAGUUUGAAUGUUUUAUAAGAAUUUUUGAAUGUUCAUGAUUUAUAAUAUAUAGAUUAAAUCAGAUCAAGGUGUAGUGAAUAUAUAAGGAGAGAUGGGUUACAAUAAAUUUAUUUAUACGGUUAAAUUGAUUUAAAAUUUUUUAUAAGGUGGAUUUGAAGGUAAUUUAAUUUAUAUAAAUUAUAUGAUUAAAGCUCUAUAAUAUGUACAUAUCGCCCGUCGCUCUCAUUUUAAGGUGGGAUAAGUCGUAACAAAGUAGGGGUACUGGAAAGUGUCCCUAGAUAGACAAAUUAGAGCUUGAUAUAAAGCAUUUUAUUUACAUUAAAAGGUUAGUUGUGUAAUUCAAUUUAGUUUGAUAGUGAUAAAUUUAUUAUUUUGUAUGAAAAUAAAGUAUUAUUUUUAUUUAGUAGGAUUUUUGAAUAGUAAAAUUUUAAUUAUAGUUUAAUUGUAUAGAGAUAGAUAUUUAAAAUUUUAUUUAUAAUAAAAAAAGACUAGUAUUUUGUACCUUGUGUAUCAGGGCUUAUUAAUAAUAGUUUAUUUAUUUAAUAUUCUCGAAUUUUUAAGAGCUAAUAAUUUAUAUAUUUAAUUGUAACAUAAAUUUUUAUAAUAUAUUAUUAGAAAUGAAACGUUAGUCGUUUAAAAAGAUAUCUAGUUUUUUAAGAAAUAAAUUUAAUUUAGUUAUUUGAUGGUAUGAUUUUUAUUAAGAUAAAAUUAUAUAUUAAAUAAAAAAUAUUCUAGGGGAUAAGCUUUAGAUUAGAAAAUUAAAAGUUAGUUUUGUGUAUAAAGAUAAUUAGGAUUAGAAGUUUUUAUUGUUUAGUUUGUUAUAAUUAAUCUUUAUAUAUAUAUAAUUUAUAUUAAUUUUAAUUUUUAUAUUAAAAUUAUUUAUUUAAUGUUAUAAUAUAGGGAAUAAUGAUAGGAUUAGUAUAGUAUUAUUUAUUAGUAUUAGGUCGAAAAAGGUUGUAUUGAGGAACUCGGCAAAUUAGUUUUCCGCCUGUUUAUUAAAAACAUGGCUUUUUGAUAAUAAUUUAAAGUCUGACCUGCCCACUGAGUAUUUGAAUGGCCGCGGUAUUUUGACCGUGCAAAGGUAGCAUAAUAAUUAGUUUUUUAAUUGAAAGCUGGAAUGAAUGGUUGGACGAGAAAACGACUGUCUUAAUGUAAUUGUAUUAGAAUUUUAUUUUUAAGUAAAAAAGCUUAAUUAUUUUUAAAAGACGAGAAGACCCUAUAGAGUUUUAUAUUUUUUGGUAUUAAUAUUUUAUAGUAGAUUUAAUUUUUAAUAUUAAAGAAUAUUUUGUUGGGGUGACGGAAAAAUUAAAUGAACUUUUUUUAUUUUUAUAUUACUGAUUUGUAUAUAAAUGAUCCAUAAGUUAUGAUUAUAAGAUUAAAUUACCUUAGGGAUAACAGCGUAAUUAUUUUUAAGAGUUCUUAUCGAAAAAAUAGUUUGCGACCUCGAUGUUGGAUUAAAAUUAACUUUUGGUGUAGGAGCUAAUUAGUUGGGUCUGUUCGACCUUUAAAAUUUUACAUGAUCUGAGUUCAAACCGGAGA
rnacentral:rRNA from 1 species